rnacentral:rRNA from 1 species
GACAGAGGGUGCAAACGUUGUUCGGAAUUACUGGGCGUAAAGCGCGUGUAGGCUGUUCUGCAAGUCGGGUGUGAAAGCCCCGGGCUCAACCUGGGAAGUGCACUCGAAACUGCAGAACUCGAGUCCUGGAGAGGAAGGGGAAUUCUCGGUGUAGAGGUGAAAUUCGUAGAUAUCGAGAGGAACACCGGUGGCGAAGGCGGCCUUCUGGACAGUGACUGACGCUGAGACGCGAAAGCGUGGGGAGCAAACAGG